rnacentral:rRNA from 1 species
CUCGUAGGCGGUUUGUCGCGUCUGCUGUGAAAACCCGAGGCUCAACCUCGGGCCUGCAGUAGGUACGGGCAGACUAGAGUGCGGUAGGGGAGAUUGGAAUUCCUGGUGUAGCGGUGGAAUGCGCAGAUAUCAGGAGGAACACCAAUGGCGAAGGCAGAUCUCUGGGCCGUAACUGACGCUGAGGAGCGAAAGCAUGGGGAGCGAACA